GUUGAUGGGCGGACAGCACACAUGACCGACACAACUCGGCACCAGAGCGGGCAGAGCAACCCCCCCCCCCCCUAUCAGAUUUUGCUGGAUCCAUCCCUGCAAGAAAAUUAUAAAACUAAGAUGAUUCAAGAAGAACAUCAUAAAAUUGAAUAUCAUCUUUGUGAAGUUUAAAAUAUGGCCGGAAUUAGUUUCUGCAAGUGGAAUAUACAUCAGCCAUUUUAUUUUUCUUUCAUCUGACAUACUAUAAAUCUAACUUUAUUUAACUGGUCAACUGUUAAACAUCAGUCCCUUAAAAUUUUUUACAAGCUACUGAGUGUUGAUUGAAGCCUUUGACAACAGUGCAAUCAACAUGAACAGAUACAUGUACGCUUAGCGUACCUAUUUUUUUUAUUGCAAGCCAAAAUUGCCCGACUGUUGAUCGAAUAUUGCCCGACUGCCCAAAAAACUGGGGGGGGGCUACCGCCCCCCGCCCGGGACGCCUAUGUUCGUUGGAAAAAUAUUCAAUAUUUUCUACUUCGACUGCUAUUGAUCAGAAAACUCGAUCUGUUCACAUUAUGGCCAUUUAAAUACGUAUAUACCGUAUUAUUAUUCGAUUAUCGCACGCUCCUUGUUUACACUUUACAGUUGACAUUCAAAGUGGGCAUUGUCUUGUGUAUUUGAAUGCUAUUGGCUAAUGGAAUACAAUGGGAAGGCGAAUUGCUAGCGAAAGUAAGCAGACCGUACGUGGCGGGCCCAAACCCGCUAAAGUAGGUUAUGAAACUAGUUAUAGGAUGGUGUAUUGUAGGAAAUCGUGCGAAAACUGUUCAAUAAAAUCUAUUUGUAAUUUUUCACAGUUGGAGCUUGACAACUGGCCUCUGUAGUUCAGUUGGUUAGAAUGCUGCACCAGAAUCACAUAGUUAGGUCUAAUACAUAUAUAAAAUUUACACUAGAAAUUGCCAUCUACAAUACCCUCCUGAAAUCCUACACUAGCACAGACCAUUCUAUAUCUGUUCAACAUUAAUAAGGGACCGGUCAUAAAGUAAAAGGGGGG